rnacentral:rRNA from 1 species
UCAGGCCUAACACAUGCAAGUCGAACGGCAGCGGGGACUUCGGUCCGCCGGCGAGUGGCGAACGGGUGAGUAAUGCAUCGGAACGUGCCUAUCAGUGGGGGAUAACGCUUCGAAAGGAGUGCUAAUACCGCAUAUUCUCCGAGGAGGAAAGCAGGGGACCUUAGGGCCUUGCGCUGAUAGAGCGGCCGAUGUCGGAUUAGCUAGUUGGUAGGGUAAGGGCCUACCAAGGCAACGAUCUGUAGCUGGUCUGAGAGGACGAUCAGCCACACUGGGACUGAGACACGGCCCAGACUCCUACGGGAGGCAGCGGUGGGGAAUAUUGGACAAUGGGGGAAACCCUGAUCCAGCAAUGCCGCGUGUGUGAAGAAGGCCUUCGGGUUGUAAAGCACUUUUAGUUGUGAGGAAAGUGAAAUGCUAAUACCAUUGUCAUUGACGU